AGGCGUGUCACUCAGUGGAUAGAGUGCUUGUCUUGUAUUGAUGAAGCCUGGGUUCAAUCCCUGGCACCUCUU
rnacentral:tRNA from 1 species